rnacentral:rRNA from 1 species
AUUGAACGCUGGCGGCAGGCCUAACACAUGCAAGUCGAGCGAGGGGCGGACGGGUGAGUAAUGUAUGGGGAUCUGCCCGAUUGAGGGGGAUAACUACUGGAAACGGUGGCUAAUACCGCAUUCUAUCGGAUGAACCCCUAUGGGAUUGGCUAGUAGGUGGGGUAAAGGCUCACCUAGGCUACGAUCUCUAGCUGGUCUGGUAGGAUGCUCAGCCACACUGGGACUGAGACACGGCCCAGACUCCUAGGGGAGGCAGCAGUGGGGAAUAUUGCACAAUGGGCGCAAGCCUGAUGGAGCCAUGCCGCGUGAAUGAAGAAGGCCUUAGGGUUGUAAAGUACUUUCAGCGGUGAGGCGUUACCCGCAGAAGAAGCACCGGCUAACUCCGUGCCAGCAGCCGCGGUAAUAC